rnacentral:rRNA from 1 species
GAUGAACGCUAGCGGCAGGCCUAAUACUUGCAAGUCGAACGAGACUAAGUAGCAAUACUUAGUUUAGUGGCGCACGGGUGCGUAACGCGUAUGCAACCUACCUUCUAUUGGGGGAUAGCCCCGGGAAAGCCCGGGAACGUUAAUACCGCAUAAUAUCAUUUGAGGGCAUCCGAAGAUGAUUAAAGCUACGGCGAUAGAAGAUGGGCAUGCGUGCCAUUAGCUAGUUGGUUGAGGUAACGGCUCACCAAGGCUACGAUGGCUAGGGGUUCUGAGAGGAUGAUCCCCACCACUGGUACUGAGAUACGGACCAGACUCCUACGGGAGGCAGCAGUAGGGAAUAUUGGGCAAUGGACGAAAGUCUGACCCAGCCAUGCCGCGUGAAGGAUGAAGGCCUUCUGGGUU